GGUAAGUGUGACAAACAGACCGUGACUGAAAGGGUAAGUGUGACAAACAGACCCUGACUAAAGGGGUAAGUGUGACAAACAGACCGUGACUGAAAGGGUUAGUGUGACAGACCAUGACGGAAAGGGUUAGUGCGACAAACAGAUCAUUUAAUUAUUGGC